rnacentral:rRNA from 1 species
AACGCUGGCGGCGCGCUUAAUACAUGCAAGUCGAGCGAGAACCUGGGCUUCGGCCCUGGGGACAGCGGCGAACGGGUGAGUAACACGUGGGUAAUCAACCCUCGACACUGGGAUAGCCCGGGGAAACCCGGAUUAAUACCGGAUACCCCAUCUGGCCUUCGGGCCGGCUGGAAAAGGUAGCUUCGGCCUCCGGUCGGGGACGAGCCCGCGGCGGAUUAGCUUGUUGGUGGGGUAAUGGCCCACCAAGGCGACGAUCCGUAGCUGGUCUGGGAGGACGAUCGGCCACACGGGGGCUGAGACACGGCCCAGACUCCUACGGGAGGCAGCAGUAGGGAAUCUUGCGCAAUGGGCGAAAGCCUGACGCAGCGACGCCGCGUGAGGGAAGAAGGCCUUCGGGUUGUAAACCUCUUUCAGGAGGGACGAAGCCACUCGGGUUAACAGCCCAGAGGGUGACGGUACCUCCAGAAGAAGCCCCGGCUAACUACGUGCCAGCCGCCGCCGUAAUAC